rnacentral:rRNA from 1 species
GUAGGUGGCAAGCGUUGUCCGGAAUUAUUGGGCGUAAAGCGCGCGCAGGCGGUCCUUUAAGUCUGAUGUGAAAGCCCACGGCUCAACCGUGGAGGGUCAUUGGAAACUGGGGGACUUGAGUACAGAAGAGGAAAGCGGAAUUCCACGUGUAGCGGUGAAAUGCGUAGAGAUGUGGAGGAACACCAGUGGCGAAGGCGGCUUUCUGGUCUGUAACUGACGCUGAGGCGCGAAAGCGUGGGGAGCAAACAGGGAUUAGAUACCCUGGUAGUCCACGCCGUAAACGAUGAGUGCUAAGUGUUAGGGGGUUUCCCGCCCCUUAGUGCUGCAGCUAACGCAUUAAGCACUCCGCCUGGGGAGUACGGCCGCAAGGUUG